CGUAGGGGGCGAGCGUUGUCCGGAUUUAUUGGGCGUAAAACGCUUGUAGGCGGCCACCGCGCGUCGGCUGUGAAAUCUCCCGGCUCAACUGGAGGGGUCAGGCGAUACGGCGGGGCUCGAGGCCGGUAGGGGGACGCGGAAUUCCCGGUGUAGUGGUGGAAUGCGUAGAGAUCGGGAGGAACACCAGUGGCGCAGGCGGCGUCCUGGACCGGUACUGACGCUGAGGAGCGAAAGCGUGGGGAGCGAUCCGGAUUAGAUACCCGGGUAGUCCACGCCGUAAACGGUGCGCACUAGGUGUCGGGGUAUCGACCCCUCCGGUGCCGCAGCUAACGCAUUAAGUGCGCUGCCUGGGGAGUACGGCCGCAAGGCUAA
rnacentral:rRNA from 1 species